rnacentral:misc_RNA from 1 species
AUGGACCAGCUACUGUACAGGAACAUUACACGAACGGGGUCCCCGGUCACCUUGUCACCCCCGGGGACUGUGUCCCCCUCGGUGAAUGGGUCCCUGAUUGAGGGGGACCUUAGGGAGAGUCAGAUCAUUCCCGACAUGAUUGCCAUCAUAGGAGGGGUUGCGGGAGCAAUGGCCGUGAUUCUGAUCGUGUGUGUGGUGGCUAUAGCAGUACACUGUACGCGUGAGAGAGAGAGACACAAUCUUCCCAAGCUGCCCGAGGUGAUUCCCUCCCCAAUGGUACGUGGCAAGGUCUACCACCCUGAGGAUAAGGAUGCCACCCACAAAAAGUACAACUAUGAGGAGGACAGAUACUGCUCAAUCAAGCGUAGUCCCAUGAAGCUCACAAACUUCGAGAUGGACGAUGAUCCAGAUAGAAAACUCAAAGAGGCCUUCCUCCAGGGACCAGCGGAGGAGAUACAGCCCGAACCCCCCAUGACCCCAGUCAGACAGGUCAUGGUUAAUGGGGUACUUCCUCGCCCCCGAAGUCCAGAGCUUCCACUCCUGUUGGAUCCUCCACCUGAUUACUGCUCUGUGCCUGAGAAUAGCUCGGAUAAAUAUUUCACCAUGAAUCCACAGAAACCAUUGUCAGAAAUGGCGGAAAUACGUGUUUCUGCCUCGCUACCACAACGAGGCCAUAAAACCAAAAAACCAAAAACUGUCACGUUUUCACCUGUUGCUAUGGUGACUCCCCUCCCUUCCGGUUCUGAGGAAUCCAUCGGAGAUGAGGAGGACAGGAAUCUAGCAAACAUCAUUGAUUCUUAUCAGUGUUUACACGAUAAAGACUUCCCCUCGGAGAAGCCCCUCAUUUUACCCCCACCCAAUGACACAAUGGAGUUCGCUUCCAUACAGGGACCGAAUGAGGCAGAAAUCGCAGAGAUGCAGGAGCUCUGGAAUACACUGGGAACACCCUCUGUGUCCACAACAAUGGAUGACGGGGCGUACGAUAACAUUGACUAUCUGCUCGCGCAGAAUAAAGCAAGGCAUGACCAUGAGGUCUAAGUUCAGCAUUAAGAUUUAUAUUCUAGUCAUCUAGUGAAUAGUUUUAAUAUUGUGGAUCAAUUUUUCGUACAAAAGAUCAUCUUGUUGCUGGUAUAGAUCAAUCCAUGUUUGGAUAAAGAAGAAGCAUUAAUUUGUUCAUAAAAGUGCACUUAAAACAAAAUAUGCAAUGUGUUUACAAGUUCUGAAUUAAAGUUUAAUUGAAGCAAAAUGCUAUUACAAUGUACUUACAGUAUACAUUAGCAUUAUUGGUGAAACAUUUUGAUGGAAUUUCAUUUUGGUAUAUCAAUACAUAUGAUUUUAUAAGUUUCAAACUGUUGUUCAAGUAGAAACAGAUUGUUUAACUUAGUUGGUGCAUUUAUGAGUGUCUUCAUGUAAAUACGUGUAUUUAGGUCCACCCAGAUAUAGUCGCUUGGGUGAACUUUCAGAUAUAGUUCCAGAAUCUUUCCUGUGCUACAUCCAGUAGCAUUACAAUCAGCAUUAAAAUUCACA